rnacentral:rRNA from 1 species
CUUAAAUUGAAGAGUUUGAUCAUGGCUCAGAUUGAACGCUGGCGGCAGGCCUAACACAUGCAAGUCGAGCGGAAACGACACUAACAAUCCUUCGGGUGCGUUAAUGGGCGUCGAGCGGCGGACGGGUGAGUAAUGCCUAG